rnacentral:rRNA from 1 species
UACAGAGGUCUCGAGCGUUAGGCGGAAUCACUGGGCUUAAAGGGCGCGUAGGCGGUCCGACAAGUCAGGGGUGAAAUACUGCAGCUCAACUGUAGAAGUGCCUUUGAUACUGUCGGUCUCGAGGGAGAUAGGGGUGUGCGGAACUUCCAGUGGAGCGGUGAAAUGCGUUGAUAUUGGAAGGAACGCCGGUGGCGAAAGCGGCGCACUGGAUCUCUUCUGACGCUGAGGCGCGAAAGCUAGGGGAGCAAACGGG